GCGGCCGCAGAUCCCGGCAACUUGCGAACCGGGAAAAGUUUGCGGCGCCUCCGCGGGGCGGCGCGACGCGGCCCGCCCCUCGCGUCCGCGGUCAUCGCGGGUGACUUUCUCGACUCGUCGUCAGCCGGGGCCGCAGCGCGGCCGGUGGGGACUGCGGGGCGGGCCGGAGUCCGUCCGAGGGCUCCCGCACCUCGGGCUGCGGCACCAGACAUGUUGGCAUCAUCUCUUAGUUGGGCCAUGUGGCCAGGGAACCCUUCAUGAAACCACCUCUGCAGUCCUGGAGAGUUGCUGUAGAAGAAGGAAAAGAGAGGAAGACAACACAACACAGGAGGGGAUAAGUACCUCUGGACACAAUGGAAGUAGUAGUUGUUGAGCAGAGGGAAAGGGAUAGGAGAAGGAUGUGGACUGCAGUGCUGCAGUGCCAGGUAAUAACUUUGAUCAUGUACCUCCU
rnacentral:lncRNA from 1 species